GUAUUACAAGGGUGAUCAAGGGUCGUUAGAUUGGAGUGUCUCUGGAGGUACCUGCGAGCUGUCUGGAGUGGCAUUGUGUAAAGCACAAUAUAUAUACAAGUUAAAAUGUCCAAAUUGUUUAUCCCAAGUACAGUCCAUACACUCAUGCUGCCUCUCAGCUAUGAACCUAAACCCUUCCAUACAAAACUACAAUUUGUGUAAACAUUGCAGCAAAUCAACUUCAGUGGCAGAGAUUAGUCACUAUAUUAGAGACGAUAAGUUCCUGACUUGACGACAUUAACUCUUAAUGACUUAACGACAUUAACUCUUAAUGACUUAAAAACUGGGACGGUGUUUGAUCUUUGUGUGGACAAUUGUCAUAUCAGUAUCGGGUGUAUAUUUAGUCAUUCAGCAUUUUAUCCUGUGAUGAUUUGUAAUUCUAUAUUUAUAUGAAUUCCAUAUACAACUGUCAUAAUUUCUGUGAUUUCUCUACACACGUUUAUGUGUAGUUUUAGAAUUACAUCCCCUUGUAAUUCAGUCUUCGGAUUAUUCCAACCCAUCUGUCCAUCAGCAUCAUCUUCUAAAGAAAUGGAAAAUGAUACUCAUUAUUUCCCUGAAUUGUAAAAAGAUUUUCUCAAGAGGGAUGACAUUUGUGAUGACAUUAAUAACACAGAGUUAGUGUAUGGAAGUGAUUUUCUCACUUGCUUCAUGGUUUAUAGAUUGAGCCUGAAAUACACGUCUCCAUAUGUCCUUAUUUAUAGUGUAUCAAACCUCCAUGUUAUGAGAUAUAUCAGGGUUUUACCUGGAGGUAAAAAACUGCAGGUCCAGGCGAUCCCCAUCAAUAAAUUUGACAGGGUCUUGUAGGUAAUAUGAGGGUCCAGUAAAGUAUUGAUAUGGUUCAGAUAAUUACUUCAGAGACUGGAAUGAAUCAGUGAUCAUGUGGACAAUGGUCGUGACUGAUGGUUGAUAUAACAGACACAGAUAACUUCUCUUGAUGCGCUGUAGGUAUAAUCUUAGUAUCUUUGUGCGUCUCUCUGGAUGUGGUGUUUGGGGUUUUCAGCCCCCAUUCUCUACAUUAGUGUGUACUGGACGGACAUUUGUGCGUAGCACAAAACCCGAAUAUAUAUCUGGGUCUCAUUUGGCACCAAAUUCCAGUCACAUUACCAGCUUGGUAAGCUGUUCUUUACAUCAGUGAUCCCAACAAGAGGCAAUGUCACCAGGGCUUGACUCGCCUUGUUGUGGCGUCACAGACUCAUGGUGGCAGAAGGAUUUGUCUCCCUUUCUUGACACUCAGGCAAAUAUCCUGUCUAUAUGAAGGUAAUGAAUCUUCGGAUUCAACUAUAUGCAUAUUAGGGGCUUGCUUAUGUUACAGUCUGGAAUGUAGAUGUAUACUAAUCAAUCAGCUGAUUGAAUGUUGAUUUCCAGGGUAUGAGGGAGAGAAAUUUUGGACUGAAAUAAAAAAUGGUAAUGGUGAUGUGACUGAUGUCAUCAGGGGCCAGGGUAUGACAAAAUAACGGAGAUAAAAUACCCUUGAUAAUGAACGAUGUACUUCAGUAGGUUUCAGAUCUGCAGAACUAGAAGAGUUUUUCACUGAGGCAUGGUGUAAUGUAUCAGGAAGAAGACUGUUUAGGUUUGUACAUGUAUGUGUAUUUGAUAAUGCAGCAUUAUUGAAUCUAGUCACGAUUAACAUUUGAUUCCUUUUGAAUUGUAGAUACUAUCAUGAAAUGUUCCAACUGAAAUAAUAUUCUCGAGAGAUGAGUGAUGUUAGGGUGGUGCAGAAUUGGGUACAAUCAAACCCAUGUUCACAACUAACCCUGUCGUGAUAUGUAACACUCAUAUUUAGUAAUGUUUACUUUGUGUAUCAUUAACAGAUCGUUUGACUAACACUGCAAGAACCCUGAGUAGUAAUUUACCUGCAAAUAUGGAGUUCAAAUCUGAAGACCCCCCGAGUUAGAAUUGAUCUUCAGUAACCCAUGCUUUUCGUAAGAGGCAACUAACAGGAUUGGGUGGUCAGGCUUGCUGACUUGGUUGACACAUGUCAUCGUAUCCCAAUUACGUAGAUCAAUG
rnacentral:lncRNA from 1 species